GUAACAGUAUUUGAAAUUUUUUGACAUUAAGUCGUCUGCUUGUUGUAGAGUCGAGAAGAGAGCUGUUCCAUGUCUACCUAGUCAUCUUCGCUAAUAACUUGAACUCAUCACUUUGUGAUGCUGAUCAGCUGAGGGCGCUCUUUGCAUUCCCUGAUUCAGUCAACGCAACUCAGUUGCAUGAGGCUCUGUGUAGUAAUGGCGUCCUUGGCUCGUUGGAGUAUCUGGCAGCUACUAAGGUCUUCAAGCAGAUCAUGGAUGAGGUUACAGCCUUCCAGCAAGAUACCUUCAACAUCAGUUCAUUUGUUACUGACAUAGAUAACCUUCUUAAGCAUCUAACAUCCGUGGGUAAUUACAAUGUGAACACAAACAUCAACCCUGAGCCAUUUCUUCCGAUACUUCAGAUGGACUGGAACCAGGUCAUCUCAGAGAGUGCUAUUCUGCAGAGACUGGAGGUACCUUAUGCAGCAGCUCCACCUAGACACAGAUGCCAUCACCACCCUGCUGGCCAGUGAACUGACCAGUAUCCCUAAAGGUGACCGCCACCAGAUGGACCAAGUGGCUGAGCUUAUCGUUAACAUCACAAACUGCAUCGAACUGGAUUGGUUUAUUCCGUUCCAGUCUGAGCGGGAAAUGGAAAGAGAGGCACAGAGAUUACAUAUCGAUGGCUGUCUGUUUGCAGUGGGGUUUAUCUGACAUGGCAAAGACAUACAAAGAUUAAGAAGAAGAAGAUGAUGAUGAUCAAGAGGAGGAAUAUGAGAAUGUAAAGAAUGGGAUGAAGAACUCAUCCUUAGAGAGGUAGAGGCUGAGCUAAGGCGUAGAGAAGGAAUGGAUACAGAUGGUGAUGAGGUCGGAAGUCAAGGCUCGGACAUUCCACUAGAGUCGCUGGAGUGUGAAGAAAUUGAAACUGAAGAUAGAAUGGUGACCAAAGAACAGAUAACUGAUAUUAAGGAACAAAUCUUUUAAAAUAGUUUGUGUAAAGUCCAGGGGCCAAUUUCAUCAAACUGUUUAAAGCACAAAUUGAUUGGGGCACCAUUCACAACAAAGUAAACUACAAUUUCAUCAAACUGUUAUGCUUGACAAAGUUUAUUGCUAUAAAGCACAAAUUGAUUGGGGCACCAUUCACAACAAAGUAAACUACAAUUUCAUCCAACUGUUAUGCUUGACAAAGUUUAUUGCUAUAAAGCACAAAUUGAUUGGGGCACCAUUCACAACAAAGUAAACUACAAUUUUGACCGGUAAUCUUUUUCUGUUAAGCAAUACUUUUCUGUACUUAGCAAGGGUUUGUGUCGACUGGCCAGUUGAUUGAAAAGCUUUUUGAAAGGAACAUUACAGAAUUGGUAAGAACAAAAGUGUGGGUUGCCGCGUUUGAAGGGACAUGAGAUAGAAAGAAAGUUUAGCUCAUAAUUAUGACGCGUAUUUAUAAUGUAUGUAAUAAUUACGCCUUCUAUUUACUUAUAUCUUGAAUUGUUUGCUUGGCACAAGUCAUAAAUGACUUACACAUGCUAAAUCAUAAAGAGAUCAAAUAAUUGUCUUUAUUAUUCUGCCAUAAUGUUAUAGCCUUUUUAGAUCUUUUUAGAGGUCACAAAACAAUUUUAACACAAUUUCUCCAGAAAUUGUAUUUUUAAGCUAGAUUUUUCACUUGAGCUUGUUUGUUUCAGUAAACUAAGCAUCUGAGUUUGUGUAUAUCCAUUAUUGUUCAGUUCUCUAAUAACAAACUUUACCUGGCAAGUAGAUACAGACAUGGUGUUACCGCUAACCAAAUAUAUUUUGAUACCUUACCAUGCAAUGCCUCAAAUCCUAUACAUUAUAAUUCUACUGUCAUUAUUCGUACCGAAUCUUUAACGAAAUGUUGUGAGAAAAUCAUAGGUACCAUAAUGAGAGAGCUAGGAAAUGUCAACAUUGGACCCCCAAAAAAUGGCAAUUUGAAUCAGUUUCAGAGAUGAUACUUGAUAAUGGUUGCAGAAACGUUAUGGGUGCAUUUUAUAGUGAUAGAAAGUUGACAGCAAUAGCUUUGAAAAAAUAUAAAAGAUUAUUCUUAACUCACCUGAAUCUUUAGAGAAGAAAUUAAUUGUGUAUAAAUAAAACCAUGGCGACUAAAAGAAAUAUUAAUCUUGUGAUAUUUUAAUAACACUUUAUGAAUAAACAUCAUCAUUACAUUCUACAAUACUUCUAAAUUUGAAUUAAAAAAGAAAUCGUUUUGUAUAACAAUUAUUGCACUCUUGCUGGCUGGGCGAUGCCAUAAUAAAGUCAAAUAUUAUUAGAACCAUCAAUAUUUGAGAAAACUAUGUUGACUAUUAGGGCCAAUUCUUGUUGAAUAAUUUUAAGCGGCCAUUUUCAAAAAGUAAAAGUAUACAAUAUUUUCAUGAUAGAGCUACAGCCAGCUCACCCCCACCCCCUAACGAAAAAAAGUUAUACACAAUUUUGGUAGGCCUAC